rnacentral:rRNA from 1 species
UGGGGAAUUUUGGACAAUGGGCGAAAGCCUGAUCCAGCAAUGCCGCGUGUGUGAAGAAGGCCUUCGGGUUGUAAAGCACUUUUGUCCGGAAAGAAAUCCUUGGCUCUAAUACAGUCGGGGGAUGACGGUAUCGGAAGAAUAAGCACCGGCUAACUACGUGCCAGCAGCCGCGGUAAUACGUAGGGUGCAAGCGUUAAUCGGAAUUACUGGGCGUAAAGCGUGCGCAGGCGGUUUGCUAAGACCGAUGUGAAAUCCCCGGGCUCAACCUGGGAACUGCAUUGGUGACUGGCAGGCUAGAGUAUGGCAGAGGGGGGUAGAAUUCCACGUGUAGCAGUGAAAUGCGUAGAGAUGUGGAGGAAUACCGAUGGCGAAGGCAGCCCCCUGGGCCAAUACUGACGCUCAUGCACGAAAGCGUGGGGAGCAAACAGGAUUAGAUACCCUGGUAGUCCACGCCCUAAAACGAUGUCAACUAGUUGUUGGGGAUUCAUUUCCUUAGUAACGUAGCUAACGCGUGAAG